rnacentral:rRNA from 1 species
CUAGUAAUGGCAGGUCAGCAUACUGCCGUGAAUACGUUCCCGGGCCCUUGUACACACCGCCCGUCCACACCAUGAGAGUUGGAAAUACCCGAAGCCUGUGAGCUAACUGUAAAGAGGCAGCAGUCGAAGGUAGAGCCAAUGAUUGGGGUGAAGUCGUAACAAGGUAGC